rnacentral:rRNA from 1 species
ACAGACGGAAGUUUUCGGAUGGAAGACUGUAAUUCUUAGUGGCGGACGGGUGAGUAACGCGUGGGCAACCUGCCCUAUACAGGGGGAUAGCAGCUGGAAACGGCUGGUAAGACCGCAUAAGUCGGUUAAAUCGCAUGAUUUGACCGGGAAAUGAGCAAUCAGGUAUAGGAUGGGCCCGCGUCCGAUUAGCCAGUUGGCAGGGUAAAAGCCUACCAAAGCUACGAUCGGUAGCCGGACUGAGAGGUCGGACGGCCACAUUGGGACUGAGACACGGCCCAAACUCCUACGGGAGGCAGCAGUGGGGGAUAUUGCACAAUGGAGGAAACUCUGAUGCAGCGACGCCGCGUGAGUGAAGAAGUAUUUCGGUAUGUAAAGCUCUAUCAGCAGGGAAGAUGAUGACGGUACCUGACUAAGAAGCCCCGGCUAACUACGUGCCAGCAGCCGCGGUAAUACGUAGGGGGCAAGCGUUAUCCGGAUUUACUGGGUGUAAAGGGAGCGCAGGCGGUUUUGCAAGUUGAGAGUGGAAGCAGGGGGCUCAACCCCCUGACUGCUCCCAAAACU